rnacentral:misc_RNA from 1 species
UUUUUUUUUUUUUUUUUUCCUGCUCAUCUAUUGCAGUGCCUUAAGCCUCUUAAACUGUUCAAAGAUGCCUUGAGAGUGAUAAGGUUAAAAAUCUAAAAGGUUCCAAUUGCCCAAUCCUACACCACUAAAGGGAAUAGUGGCACCCUCCAAUCAUCCUCAGGGUAUGCGAUACUUACAAGGACAAAGAUGACUUCGAUAGCGGAUGGUGUGUGAUUCCUACCUGA